GGGGAGGGGGUGGGGGAGGGGGUGGGGGAGGGGAAGCGGGGAGGCAGGGAGGUGGGAUGGCAGGAAGGCAGAGCAAUGGCCUUAAUAUAAGCAGUGGAACCAGGAACACUGGAAUCAGUGGGGUGACUGUAGCCGUUUUUUUCUUUCCAUUGCCCAAGGGAGGGUGUGGGUUUUCCAACCCUCAUAGGUGUCCCCUUUUGUUGACAAGAUGACAACAACCGGCACUGUUUGUCCCAGCAGGGAGCUCAACGGCCUACAGCAGCUCUGUCUGUGACAGGGAGAGCUGUUCCCAGCAGACACCAAAGAGAGAGAACUUUGGGAGCGCAGCAAGCAAGCCCCAUUCCCAGCCAGGCAUUCUGCAAAUGCUCCGUCCAGCAGCGCCACCUGCCGGCCACAUCCAAGCGCAUUCCCUUCCUCCCUUACCAGCUUCUAUUAAAAAAUGUCUUAGUGUGGAUCUGAGUUCAAGGCCAACCUAAUCUACAGAGUGAGUUCCAGGACAGCCAGGGCUAUAUAGAGAAACCCUGUCUUGUAAAACCAUCCAUCCAUCCAUCCAUCCAUCCAUCCAUCCAUCCAUUCAACCAACCAACUAACCAACCACUUACCCACCCACCCAACCAGAAAGUCUUAGUGUGUUGGUAUGCAUGCAUUUGCAUAUACAUGUGUGUGUAUGUGUGCAGACAAAUGUGUGCAUGUGUUCUUGUGUUUGGGGUGCAUGGUUAUGUGCAUGUACAGCUAUAGGUCAAUGCUGGGUAUCUUCCUGUACUGCUCUCCAUCUUGGUUCUGUGUAUGUGUGUAUGUGUGCAGACGAAUGUGUGCAUGUGUUCUUGUGUUUGGGGUGAAUGGUUAUGUGCAUGUACAGCUAUAGGUCAAUGCUGGGUAUCUUCCUGUACUGCUCUCCAUCUUGGUUCAGGUU
rnacentral:lncRNA from 1 species